GCGGACAGAAGGGAGCUUGCUCCCCGGAUGUUAGCGGCGGACGGGUGAGUAACACGUGGGUAACCUGCCUGUAAGACUGGGAUAACUCCGGGAAACCGGAGCUAAUACCGGAUAGUUCCUUGAACCGCAUGGUUCAAGGAUGAAAGACGGUUUCGGCUGUCACUUACAGAUGGACCCGCGGCGCAUUAGCUAGUUGGUGAGGUAACGGCUCACCAAGGCGACGAUGCGUAGCCGACCUGAGAGGGUGAUCGGCCACACUGGGACUGAGACACGGCCCAGACUCCUACGGGAGGCAGCAGUAGGGAAUCUUCCGCAAUGGACGAAAGUCUGACGGAGCAACGCCGCGUGAGUGAUGAAGGUUUUCGGAUCGUAAAGCUCUGUUGUUAGGGAAGAACAAGUGCAAGAGUAACUGCUUGCACCUUGACGGUACCUAACCAGAAAGCCACGGCUAACUACGUGCCAGCAGCCGCGGUAAUACGUAGGUGGCAAGCGUUGUCCGGAAUUAUUGGGCGUAGAGGGCUCGCAGGCGGUUUCUUAAGUCUGAUGUGAAAGCCCCCGGCUCAACCGGGGAGGGUCAUUGGAAACUGGGAAACUUGAGUGCAGAAGAGGAGAGUGAAUUCCACGUGUAGCGGUGAAAUGCGUAGAGAUGUGGAGGAACACCAGUGGCGAAGGCGACUCUCUGGUCUGUAACUGACGCUGAGGAGCGAAAGCGUGGGGAGCGAACAGGAUUAGAUACCCUGAUACUCCACGCCGUACACGAUGAGUGCUAA
rnacentral:rRNA from 1 species